CAGCCGCCGCGGUAAUACAGAGGGUGCGAGCGUUAAUCGGAUUUACUGGGCGUAAAGCGUGCGCAGGCGGUUCGUUAAGACAGAUGUGAAAUCCCCGGGCUUAACCUGGGAACUGCAUUUGUGACUGACGGGCUAGAGUAUGGCAGAGGGGGGUAGAAUUCCACGUGUAGCAGUGAAAUGCGUAGAGAUGUGGAGGAAUACCGAUGGCGAAGGCAGCCCCCUGGGCCAAUACUGACGCUCAUGCACGAAAGCGUGGGGAGCAAACAGGAUUAGAGACCCCCGUAGUCCCUGUCUCUUAUAC
rnacentral:rRNA from 1 species